UUAUAAGAGACAGCAGUCGCCGCGGUAAUACAGAAGGUGCGAGCGUUAAUCGGAUUUACUGGGCGUAAAGCGUGCGUAGGCGGCUUUUUAAGUCGGAUGUGAAAUCCCUGAGCUUAACUUAGGAAUUGCAUUCGAUACUGGGAAGCUAGAGUAUGGGAGAGGAUGGUAGAAUUCCAGGUGUAGCGGUGAAAUGCGUAGAGAUCGGAAAGAACACCAACGGCGAAAGCACUCUGCUGGGCCGACACUGACACUGAGAGACGAAAGCUAGGGGAGCAAAUGGGAUUAGAUACCCCGGUAGUCCCUGUCUCUUAUAC
rnacentral:rRNA from 1 species